GGAGAGAUGGCAGAGUGGUCGAAUGCGGCGGUCUUGAAAACCGUUGAUCUUCACGGGUCCGGGGGUUCGAAUCCCUCUCUCUCCGCCA
rnacentral:tRNA from 1 species